rnacentral:rRNA from 1 species
UAUGAACGCUGGCGGCGUGCCUAAUACAUGCAAGUCGAGCGAACAGACGAGGAGCUUGCUCCUCUGACGUUAGCGGCGGACGGGUGAGUAACACGUGGAUAACCUACCUAUAAGACUGGGAUAACUUCGGGAAACCGGAGCUAAUACCGGAUAACAUGUUGAACCGCAUGGUUCAACAGUGAAAGACGGUUUUGCUGUCACUUAUAGAUGGAUCCGCGUCGCAUUAGCUAGUUGGUAAGGUAAUGGCUUACCAAGGCAACGAUGCGUAGCCGACCUGAGAGGGUGAUCGGCCACACUGGAACUGAGACACGGUCCAGACUCCUACGGGAGGCAGCAGUAGGGAAUCUUCCGCAAUGGGCGAAAGCCUGACGGAGCAACGCCGCGUGAGUGAAGAAGGUCUUCGGAUCGUAAAACUCUGUUAUUAGGGAAGAACAAAUGUGUAAGUAACUAUGCACGUCUUGACGGUACCUAAUCAGAAAGCCACGGCUAACUACGUG